rnacentral:lncRNA from 1 species
CAACCUUAUCACUAAACUCCUGACACCCAGCACCAUUCUUUCUCUUCUAGGCCAAGUUGUCUCCUUCUCCCAGGCAAGAAUUUCAUAAUUCAGAAUUCAAGGAAUUCAUGAAUCCGGCCGAUCAAAUCAACUUGUAACUACAAUCUUCCCUGACUCUGCCACUGAAAGUCACUGCUCCUGCCAUGCUCCCUAUGUGUCCGGAGGUAAUUAGAUCUCCUGAAGAAAGUUCACCUGAAGAAAGUUGAUAAAAGCGUUGGAAUCGAUUCUUGGAACCUUUUCCAGGACUUUCCUGUGCUCGAUCACGCUACUUCCAUUUGAACGAAUUGAAGAACCCAUUUCCCAGGUUCCUCCUGUCUUGGGGCUGAGGAGCAAAUGAAAACCUAGAGAUGUAAGUAGAACUCCCAUAUAACACAGAAGGUGUGCUUUUGGAAUACCUGUAUAUGAAGAAUCCAAAAGAGGACUUUUGAGAUCUCACACUUUCCUUCCUAAAAAGUACAGAUUGGGACAGGGAUUUAAUAAUAAUAAUAACAAUGUUGGCAUUAGUUAAGCGCUUACUAUGUGCAGAGCACUG